rnacentral:rRNA from 1 species
UACGUAGGGUGCGAGCGUUGUCCGGAAUUAUUGGGCGUAAAGGGCUCGUAGGCGGUCCAUCGCGUCGGGAGUGAAAAGCUGGGGCUUAACCCCAGUCCUGCUUUCGAUACGGGUGGACUAGAGGUAGGCAGGGGAGAAUGGAAUUCCUGGUGUAGCGGUGAAAUGCGCAGAUAUCAGGAGGAACACCGGUGGCGAAGGCGGUUCUCUGGGCCUUACCUGACGCUGAGGCGCGAAAGCUAGGGGAGCGAACGGG